rnacentral:lncRNA from 1 species
AUGCAGCCCCCCACUGCAGGGCAGAGGGGUGUUGGGGGUCUGCCAGCAGUGGAGAGGGGAGUUGGGGGCACACAAGGGCUCCCCAUCUGCUGCGGGCAGGACUUGGCCAGGGGAGCCACAGUUGGGCUUUGGCUGCCUGCUGGCACCGCUGGGCCUGCUGUGCCCCAUCCCUGCAAGUUGCUCACUGCUGUUACUCUCUCCAGCAUGUGUGUUCUGUGGCCGGGUGGACGUGGACCUCGGCAUCACUGGGAACAAAUACGUGAUGAAGGGGAUCUAUUUCCAUACUUUUUGUGUGAAGUCCAAUGUGGGAGGAAAACGAUGCCUAUGCAUCUCUGGGAGGAAGACAUAGGUGCUGUGAUGCCAACGAAUGCCGUUACCCACAGGGCCGGGAACAGGCAGAGGAAGUGGGGUGAGUUACCUCUGUGUGGCAUCGCAGCCUCACCACGGGCUGGGGGAGCACAGACUGAGCACCAGAGCUGUGCCGGGCACUCCCUGGCUCACGGCACUUUGUCCUCACGGCCACAACCUGUUGCUUUCCACAGGCCCUGGCAGCUGCUCCUCUGCAGCUCCUGUGCUGCACGAGGAACACACCGCCGCUGCUCCAACGUGAGUCAGGGCACAACGAGCUGGGAGUGCGACAGCUGUGCUGGAGAGGGCACCGGUAAGAGGCAAACAGCCGCGUGCUGCUGGGCUGGGGACAGGAGAGGCAUUGCUCAAGUCUCUUUGGCCCAGGAUGGAUGGGAGCCUGUCCCAUCUCGGGGCUGGAGUUUCACCCCUCUCAGCUCUUUGCUUCUCCUUUCAGGCCCCAGCACCAACUAGGAUCUUGCCAGCCAUAGCACCACCAGCCGGCAGGAACUGGGGCCAUUCUGAGGCUCCAUAGCACUGGAGAGAAGCAGGUCCAGCUUCUACUCUGUACCACCGAGUAGUUCCCGUGUUCCUGAGAACAGCAUCCUCUCCAGACAGCGCAGGGAGGACAGAAGGAGAAUAUACCCACAUGUCAUAUCCCGGAUGGUCUAGUGCUUUGGAUCCUGCGCUCUCACUGCUGGGACCAGGGUUUGAUUCUGGAACCAUCCUCUGCAAUAUAGUUUUCUUCUGAGAGCUGAUAUUUGAGAUGUUGUUAUUCCAUGGAACUGGACUUUUUAAUGAUCCAUAUGAAUCACAUAUGGAUGUGAUACCACAUCAUAUGUUAUAUGUGGAAUAUUGACAGCAACAUUACAAAACCGUGACACUGCGUUUACAGUGGGAUGAGAAUAUUGAUGCCGUAGGAGCAGCCGUGUACAAGCUCCCCUUCCUAUCCAAUGUCAUCUGAAUCCAUCCCAAUAAAACUUAAUUCCUUCAUGCCA